UUGGAAAACGGUCCUACACCGUCCCCGAUCCGGAGCAGCCUUCCUGAGGGAGGGGAUUUUGGGCAGACCAUAGAGUUUGGGGCACCUGCUUGAUUUUUCCCGAGGGAUUAAGGUUUUCUUGAUCUCGGGGCCUAUUGGAGAUGCCUCUAUUAUCGAUUUGGUGGUUUUUUUCCAGCUCGACCUCUAGCUCUUCCAGGGAUGCGUUCGAAACAACAUAUGCUUGUAUAAAGCUAGAUCUAACGAUACGCGCCACUUCAUUGAAGUAUCUCUAGCCAAGUACCCCUACCUCAAGUACUUCUAUCACUACCUCAAGUAUCUCUAUCUCAAGUACCUCUAUCUCAAAUACUAUAAUAAACGUUUCAAUAUUUUAUUUAGGAUGGACUUUAAUGGAAAUCCUCUACUCUCCGCUCAAACUCGACCUUUUAAUAUAUUUUGUUUCCGUGCCUUUUAACCCCUUGUCUAAUUACUAUAUUAUUUCAAAAUAUUAAUAAAAGAUAAAGCUUGUUUACAAUUAAA